rnacentral:rRNA from 1 species
CCUACGGGGGGCAGCAGUGAGGAAUAUUGGUCAAUGGACGAGAGUCUGAACCAGCCAAGUAGCGUGAAGGAUGACUGCCCUAUGGGUUGUAAACUUCUUUUAUAUGGGAAUAAAACGUUCCACGUGUGGGAUUUUGUAUGUACCAUAUGAAUAAGGAUCGGCUAACUCCGUUCCAGCAGCCGCGGUAAUACGGAGGAUCCGAGCGUUAUCCGGAUUUAUUGGGUUUAAAGGGAGCGUAGGUGGAUUGUUAAGGCAGUUGUGAAAGUUUGCGGCUCAACCGGAAAAUUGCAGUUGAAACUGGCAGUCUUGAGGACAGUAGAGGUGAGCGGAAUUCGUGGUGUAGCGGUGAAAUGCUUAGAUAUCACGAAGAACUCCGAUUGCGAAGGCAGUUCACUGGACUGCAACUGACACUGAGGCUCGAAAGUGUGGGUAUCAAACAGGAUUAGAUACCCCAGUAGUC